UACGUAGGGGGCAAGCGUUUGUCCGGAAUCAUUGGGCGUAAAGAGCGUGUAGGCGGCCCGGUAAGUCUGUUGUGAAAGUCCAGGGCUCAACCCUGGAAUGCCGAUGGAUACUGCCGGGCUAGAGUUCGGAAGAGGCGAGUGGAAUUCCUGGUGUAGCGGUGGAAUGCGCAGAUAUCAGGAGGAACACCUAUAGCGAAGGCAGCUCGCUGGGACGACACUGACGCUGAGACGCGAAAGCGUGGGGAGCGAACAGG
rnacentral:rRNA from 1 species